GAAGACGUUUCAGAAAGAAAAGAGCCGCGCCGUGCCAGUCGACGUUCACGACGACGUCAUCUGGCUGUUUUUCGACCAGAUGAUGUUUCUGCGCUACACAAUGGAGUGUAGACCGAUGUCCGCCAACCUUCCACCAGUGCCCCCAUCGAGUGAGGAGGGAAGUGCUGCAGACAUCUUAACAAAAAAUGUGCCAGUUUUCCGAUCUGGCAACACUUGAAGUGCCAUCACCGUCAAGUGAAGAGUCACAAGCGCCAGCAUUAGCUCUGUCUUCGGCGUCGCAUGAGUCUGUGGAGUCUCAGGACAUUUUGGAAUCUCUUGAAUCACCGAUGUUUCAAGAAGUUCUGGUUCCUGAGGA